rnacentral:tRNA from 1 species
AGGUCGGCGUCGGGGACGGCCGCCAGCGCGCCGAUCGCGGUGGCGGCGCCGCUCGCGGCGAUCUCGCCGGGGUCGCUGCCCAGGCCGACGUG